rnacentral:rRNA from 1 species
CCUACGGGCGGUAGCAGUGGGGAAUAUUGCACAAUGGGCGAAACCCUGAUGCAGCGACGCCGCGUGAGUGAAGAAGUAUCUCGGUACGUAAAGCUCUAUCAUCAGGGAAGAAAAUGACGGUACCUGACUAAGAAGCCCCUGCUAACUACGUGCCAGCAGCCGCGGUAAUACGUAGGGGCCAAGCGUUAUCCGGAAUUACUGGGUGUAAGGGGAGCGUAGACGUUGAUGUAAGUCUGGAGUGAAAGGCGCGGGCAAAACCCCCGGACUGCGCUGGAAACUAUGUGACUGGAGUGCAGGAGAGGUGAGCGGAAUUCGUGGUGUAGCGGUGAAAUGCGUAGAUAUUAGGAAGAACACCAGUGGCGAAGGCGGCUCACGGGACUGCAAUUGACGUUGAGGCUCGAAAGCGUGGGGAGCAAACAGGAUUAGAUACCCUGGUAGUC